rnacentral:rRNA from 1 species
AUUGAACGCUGGCGGCAUGCUUUACACAUGCAAGUCGAACGGUAACAGGCCUUCGGGUGCUGACGAGUGACGAACGGGUGAGUAAUGCAUCGGAACGUACCCAGAGGUGGGGGAUAACGCAGCGAAAGCUGUGCUAAUACCGCAUGUGAUCUGAGGAUGAAAGCGGGGGACCGAGCAGCAAUGUUUGGCCUCGCGCCUUUGGAGCGGCCGAUGUCGGAUUAGCUAGUUGGUGGGGUAAAGGCCUACCAAGGCGACGAUCCGUAGCUGGUCUGAGAGGACGACCAGCCACACUGGGACUGAGACACGGCCCAGACUCCUACGGGAGGCAGCAGUGGGGAAUUUUGGACAAUGGGCGCAAGCCUGAUCCAGCAAUGCCGCGUGCGGGAAGAAGGCCUUCGGGUUGUAAACCGCUUUUGGCAGGAACGAAACGGUGUCCGCUAAUACCGGGCGCUAAUGACGGUACCUGCAGAAUAAGCACCGGCUAACUACGUG